UACGGAGGGUGCAAGCGUUAUCCGGAUUCACUGGGUUUAAAGGGUGCGUAGGCGGAUAUGUAAGUCCGUGGUGAAAUCUCUGGGCUUAACCCGGAAACUGCCAUGGAUACUAUGUGUCUUGAAUGUUGUUUGAGGUGAGCGGAAUAUGUCAUGUAGCGGUGAAAAUGCUUAGAUAUGACAUAGAACACCAAUUGCGAAGGCAGCUCACUAAGCAAAUAUUGACGCUGAGGCACGAAAGCGUGGGGAUCAAACAGG
rnacentral:rRNA from 1 species